AUCCAGCUGACAGGUUCCAAACAGGACGAAAUGGCACCCGUCCUGGAU
rnacentral:hammerhead_ribozyme from 1 species